UCUCCCAUGACGUCCUCCUCCAAGCCCGAAUCCAGUGCCUCCUCAAGAAAUGGAGAAGCGCCAUGGUUGGCUAUUGCUUGAGGAAAUGAGGAGAUGCAUAUGUCGGCAAUGUUGCUGGAGCAAGGAACACUUCCAUAUUCUAUAAGGCCGAUGCCAAGGAAGGCGAGGGUCCUGCGACUGGCUGCUGCUAGGGAUAGCAGGCAGUAGAGAAGUUUCUUUCUGAUUUGAAGUGUGCAGAUUGGGACAACUCGCUUUCUGUGAGCAACCAUCUGAAUGCUAAAAUGUCAUAAAUGGCUGUGAACAGACCGGAUAUGAUUCGUACAUCAGGGCUCAAGAUAUGUGGUUUUGGAUUAGGGUAGGACUCAAGAUAUGUGACUUCCAAGGGAACUGCAAACUCAAGAUAUGUGGUCUUGGACUAGCAAGAUUUGCAUCCAGUGACACCCCUACAACAGUUUUCUGGAUGGACCAUGUCGCCACCUGAUGGUAUAGAGCUCAUGAACUCUGUAAUGUUCUAUCAUUACCAAGUGUUGUUAACAAUUUCAGGAGGCUAACUUAGAGGAAGAUAGAGGAAAGAGCAGGGCAGUUGAGGGGAAGUACAUUUCUCACUGGAGACACCUUUUUUCAGAUUACUAGACAUAUAGGAAGAAUUAUGAAACUAAAAUGGGAUGUUACUGUUGGCAUUUGAUGACAAAGUGAGGCCAAUAUAGAAAAAAACUAAGCUUUUGGGGACUAACCACGGAAUAUUAGUACUAUAUGCUGAUAUUGACAAGCCGCACUAUCUUCUCCAGUGGCAUGGGCAACGUGUAUUAUGUCGAAGUGUGUGGGAUUAUUGAUUUUAUGUCUUUAUUUUUACUAAUAUAUAUUUAUACAAGGACGACAAUCAACAAAAUGUGUAUUUCUCAUUCAACCAGUGUCCUCGCAUGUAAAGACAAGUAAUGCUUCGAGUACAUGAGAAAGAAAACAGUACUUAA